UGGGGAAUAUUGCACAAUGGGCGCAAGCCUGAUGCAGCCAUGCCGCGUGUGUGAAGAAGGCCUCGGGUUGUAAAGCACUUUCAGCGAGGAGGAAGGUGGUGGACUUAAUACGUUCAUCAAUUGACGUUACUCGCAGAAGAAGCACCGGCUAACUCCGUGCCAGCAGCCGCGGUAAUACGGAGGGUGCAAGCGUUAAUCGGAAUUACUGGGCGUAAAGCGCACGCAGGCGGUUUGUUAAGUCAGAUGUGAAAUCCCCGGGCUCAACCUGGGAACUGCAUUUGAAAACUGGCAAGCUAGAGUCUCGUAGAGGGGGGUAGAAUUCCAGGCGUAGCGGUGAAAUGCGUAGAGAUCUGGAGGAAUACCGGUGGCGAAGGCGGCCCCCUGGACGAAGACUGACGCUCA
rnacentral:rRNA from 1 species